GAUGAACGCUGGCGGCGUGCCUAAUACAUGCAAGUCGAGCGAACAGAUAAGGAGCUUGCUCCUUUGAAGUUAGCGGCGGACGGGUGAGUAACACGUGGGUAACCUACCUAUAAGACUGGGAUAACUUCGGGAAACCGGAGCUAAUACCGGAUAACAUUUAGAACCGCGUGGUUCUAAGGUGAAAGAUGGUUUUACUAUCACUUAUAGAUGGACCCGCGCCGUAUUAGCUAGUUGGUAAGGUAACGGCUUACCAAGGCGACGAUACGUAGCCGACCUGAGAGGGUGAUCGGCCACACCGGAACUGAGACACGGUCCAGACUCCUACGGGAGGCAGCAGUAGGGAAUCUUCCGCAAUGGGCGAAAGCCUGACGGAGCAACGCCGCGUGAGUGAUGAAGGGUUUCGGCUCGUAAAACUCUGUUAUUAGGGAAGAACAAAUGUGUAAGUAACUGUGCACAUCUUGACGGUACCUAAUCAGAAAGCCACGGCUAACUACGUGCCAGCAGCCGCGGUAAUACGUAGGUGGCAAGCGUUAUCCGGAAUUAUUGGGCGUAAAGCGCGCGUAGGCGGUUUCUUAAGUCUGAUGUGAAAGCCCACGGCUCAACCGUGGAGGGUCAUUGGAAACUGGGAAACUUGAGUGCAGAAGAGGAAAGUGGAAUUCCAUGUGUAGCGGUGAAAUGCGCAGAGAUAUGGAGGAACACCAGUGGCGAAGGCGACUUUCUGGUCUGUAACUGACGCUGAUGUGCGAAAGCGUGGGGAUCAAACAGGAUUAGAUACCCUGGUAGUCCACGCCGUAAACGAUGAGUGCUAAGUGUUAGGGGGUUUCCGCCCCUUAGUGCUGCAGCUAACGCAUUAAGCACUCCGCCUGGGGAGUACGACCGCAAGGUUGAAACUCAAAGGAAUUGACGGGGACCCGCACAAGCGGUGGAGCAUGUGGUUUAAUUCGAAGCAACGCGAAGAACCUUACCAAAUCUUGACAUCCUUUGAAAACUCUAGAGAUAGAGCCUUCCCCUUCGGGGGACAAAGUGACAGGUGGUGCAUGGUUGUCGUCAGCUCGUGUCGUGAGAUGUUGGGUUAAGUCCCGCAACGAGCGCAACCCUUAAGCUUAGUUGCCAUCAUUAAGUUGGGCACUCUAGGUUGACUGCCGGUGACAAACCGGAGGAAGGUGGGGAUGACGUCAAAUCAUCAUGCCCCUUAUGAUUUGGGCUACACACGUGCUACAAUGGACAAUACAAAGGGCAGCUAAACCGCGAGGUCAUGCAAAUCCCAUAAAGUUGUUCUCAGUUCGGAUUGUAGUCUGCAACUCGACUACAUGAAGCUGGAAUCGCUAGUAAUCGUAGAUCAGCAUGCUACGGUGAAUACGUUCCCGGGUCU
rnacentral:rRNA from 1 species